CCCCUUCCCCAGCGCGGGGGGAGGCGGCGGGGGAGCCGCCACCCCCCUCUUCCUCCGUUUAAGACCCGGGCUGGCGGGGCGAGCGCAGGAGAGCGGCCGCUCCGCAGCUCCGGCCCCACGCCCGCGGCGCGCACGGGGCGGCGCUGGAUGCGCCGGCGGCGGGAGGCGGGCGGCAGCCGAGCGGGACCCCGCGCAGCGGCGCGGAGCGCGGCGCGAUGAGCGCGGGCAGCGGCAGCGGAGCCGCCGGCGCGGCGGGCACCGCCACCUCCGCGCUGUGCCUGCUGCUCUCGCUCACCGCCGUGGCCGUGUGCCUGCUGCUGGGCGCCAAGACGGCGGAGCUGCAGGGCCGGCUGGCCGCGCUGGAGGAGCGGGGCGCCGCCGGCCACGGGCCGCUGCUGGACGCGCUGCAGCCCCGCGUGGAGCAGCUUUUCCGUGAGAAACUCGGCGAAGGACUUGUGAAGCUGCGGGCAGCGCGAGAGGCCCCAUCAGACUGCGUGUGCCCCCCAGGUAGGUACCGAGGUUCCAGCACAGCCACACCACCCAGGGCCACCUGCCUGCCCACUGCACCCACUGAGCUCCCCCUCUCCUGGUUUAUAUGCUCCUUUCCAGGGAGGAAAACAUGGUAAGAAGUGUUUUUCCCGAGCUGAAGCACUCUUGUGCUUGAGACUGUUAACAUCUCCCAGUGCCUUGCUUUGGCCUGUUAACAGAUCAAGGAGUUUGAGGUUUGGACAAAAGCGACGUUUGGCUAUAAGAAUAGAAGAGUGAAGAACUUGACUGGGUUGUUGAGCGCUGGGUGUUGGGCCAAAACAAUUUAGAAGUAGUAACAAAAUCACUGGGGCUUAAUGCAAGUGUGAUAAUUAAAAGCUGCAGCCUCUCUGCCUUUUCAUAGGGCAGCGACUUCUUUUGCUGUAGGAAAGCUGUCACCGAUUGUUUAAAUUUCCUCCCAGAGUUUAAUGAACUUCUAAAACUGUCAAAACUUCCUGUUCUGCCGUGGAAGUGCAUGCUCCUUGGAAACAAUAAACAGCUUAGAUUAGUUUGUAAAGGAACCUCC
rnacentral:lncRNA from 1 species